rnacentral:rRNA from 1 species
GCUACGCCGUUUGGUGGAUGGCUGGGUUCGAGCGCUGAAGAAGGUCGUGCCAAGCUGCGAUAUGCGUCGGGUAGGCGCAAGGAGCCUAUGAACCGACGAUUACCUAAUGGGACUUCCCGCUCUUCGGAGCGAUCCGCAAGGAUCGGGAACGGGGGGAAUUGAAGCAUCUUAUUACCCCCAGGAAGAGAAAUCAAUCGAGAUGCCGUUAGUAAGGGCGACUGAACGCGGCAUAGGGCAAACCGAAUCCUACUGAGAAAUCAGCUGGAAAUGUGGUGUUGGAGACUCUGGGUACUUCCUAACUGUCAGACUCGAAGUCGCCUGGAACGGCGCACCAGAGAGGGUGAAAGUCCUGUAGAGGAAAGGCAGAAGGAAGAUUCCGGAUGUUCUCGAGUAGCGUGCCUUGGAAAUGGCGCGUGAAUCUGGGAGCCAUUUGCUUCCAACCCUAAAUACGUCUCGAGUCCGAUAGUGCAGUAGUAGCGUGAGCGAAAGCUGAAAAGUACCCUUAACGGGAGGUGCAAAGAGCCUGAAACCAGACGGUCAUAAUCUUACACGGCAUGAAAGGAACGAAGUCCGAAAGGAUGGACCAGUGUCGUGUUAUUCGUUUCGAAAAACGAGCCAGGGAGUUCAAACUGAUGGCGAGGUUAAGUGGUUCAACCACGAAGCCGAAGGGAAACCGAAAAGUCCGCAAUCCGCAAGGAUGAGGGACUAGGUGCACUCGCCUGUAGUCAUCGGUGAGAGACCCGAAGCCAGUUGAUCUAAGCGUGGCCAGGUUGAAGCCCAGGGAAACCUGGGUGGAGGACCGAACCGGUGUUGAGGUGCAAAUCACUCGGAUGAGCUGCGUUUAGGGGUGAAAGGCCAAUCUAAACUGGACAUAGCUGGUUCCCCCCGAAACUACUCGCAGGUAGAUCUCAGACGAGGUAGGCAAUGGGGUAGAGCGACCGAUUGGAGACUUAGGGGGAGAAAUCCCUCGGUCUCCUGUCAAACUCCGAAUCUGUUGUCGCCGUAGACUCUGGGAGUGAGCGCGUGAGGGGUAAGCUCCACUCGCGAAAGGGGAACAACCCGAACUUAGGUUAAGGUCCCUAAGUGUUGGCUAAGUGUGAAAGGCUAAAAGGAGUCAGCAGUCUAAAACAACUGGGAUGUGGGCUUAGAAGCAGCCACCGUUUAAAGAAAGCGUAACAGCUCACCAGUCGAGAUUGCUGGCCCUGAAAAUGGACGGGGCUAAGCCAACCACCGAUACCUAGGGGUGCCGAAAGGCAAUCCGGUAGGGGGGCGUCGUGCGCGGACGGAAGCUCGGCGGUGACGUCGAGUGGACCGCGUACGAAUGAGGAUCCUGGCGGGAGUAGCAGCAAAGAGCGGUGAGAAUCCGCUCCGCCGAAGGGGCCAGGGUUCCUCGACAAUGUUCAUCAGUCGAGGGUUAGUCGAUCCUAAGGCGUUUCUUAAUCGAAAACGCCGAAAGGGAAGCAGGUUAAUAUUCCUGCACCAUCGCAGUCUCUGCGCAGUUACCUGACGCAUCCGGAUAGUCCGAGCAGACUCGUCUGUCUGCCCAAGCGUCGAAGUCCUCGGAGAACCGUAAUGGUGAGAAGGGGACGAAAGCGCGAGUGGGAGGGCGAAGGCCCUCUUCGGAUAAGUCCAGGUGCCAGUGAAAAGGGUUCUGCUUACAGCUGUGGUGUUCGUACCGAGAACCAACACAGGUGCCCCUGGAUGAGAAGUCCAAGGCGUGUCGGCGCAAUCGAGGCGAGGGAACUCGGCAAAUUAGCCCCGUAACUUAGGGAUAAGGGGUGCCAGCCAUGAAGAUGGCUGGUCGCAGUGACCAGGGAGCUCCGACUGUUUAACCAAAACAUAGGUGGCAGCGAGUCCGAAAGGAUGUGUAUUGCCGCUGAAGCCUGCCCAGUGGCGGUAUCUGAAAGCCCUUUUCAAGGGGAAGAAGGACCGCUAAACGGCGGGGGUAACUAUGACCCUUAGCAAAAUUAAACAGGGGGUGUCUAAUCUGGCUAUAUGCUGGAACCUCGGAGUUACGCAUCCCUUAGUAAGGAACAGUAUGCGUAACUGUGAUGACAAUCAGCAGGUAACUGCGUCGCUAUGAGGUGAUUCAAUGACAUUGUCAGAGUAUUCCGACCUAACUGUAUUUGAACGGAUCCCUGCAAAGAAGAAGUACCUGAGAUAUUAUCUUCUGGGUAUCAUUGAUGCAGAGAGUUGCUUUUGCGUUUCGUUGAAGAAACAGGAAUCGGCGAGAUUCGGUUGGGUCCUCGAUCCAGUAUUUCAUGUCACCCAACACGAGAACAACGAAGUAAUCCUUCAGCUUUUGAAGAGGGAACUGAGAUGCGGAAGGGUGGUCGUGAAGCAUGAAUCGCCUGAACUGAAGAAAUUCAUAGUCGACAACAGAAGACAGAUCGCCGAGAUAUUGAUUCCUUUCUUCCAGAGAUAUCGUCUCAUAGCAAAAUGGGAUGAUUUUCAGAAAUUCGCUGAAAUAACUGAAGCAUUGGAAAACGGAGAACACAGGGAUCGUGAGAAACUGAUUUACCUUGUGAAAAAAGCAUAUUCAAUGAACAUGAACGGAAAGCAGAGGAGAAGAAAGAUCGAGGAGAUUAUAAAGGAAAUCGAAGACGCAGGAACCUCAGAGACUAUACGCCAGACAUCCGGAGAUGGAUGAAGAUAUAGUCCGGCUUCGAAAUGAUUCGAAGUUGCUUAAGGUAACGUAAUACCUUGUCGCUUAAUUGGCGACUUGCAUGAAGGUCCAACGAGAGCUCUACUGUCCCCGCCUUGAAGCCGGUGAAACCGACUUAAUGGCGCACAGUCCAUUAUCUUCCAGCUGAAAGCGAAGACCCCGUGGAGCUUUACUGCAGUCUGUGGUUGUGGUAUGAGCUUGAAUGUGUAGCGUAGGCAGGAGACGUUACCAGGGCAUGCCGCUAGGUAUGUUCCGAGUCACCGUUGAAACACUGCCC